rnacentral:rRNA from 1 species
UACGUAGGGGGCAAGCGUUGUCCGGAUUUAUUGGGCGUAAAGAGCGUGUAGGCGGCUUUACAGGUCCGUUGUGAAAACUCGAGGCUCAACCUCGAGACGCCGGUGGAAACCGUAAGGCUAGAGUCCGGAAGAGGAGAGUGGAAUUCCUGGUGUAGCGGUGAAAUGCGCAGAUAUCAGGAGGAACACCGGUGGCGAAGGCGAAUCCCUGGAAAAUACCUGACACUGCGGCACGAAAGCUAGGGGAGCAAACCGG